UCCUACACGAGCUUUUUCCUGGGCCUUGGAGCCCAGUUCAGAUGUCUUAGUUGCUGUUGCCCCUAGUCCAUGUUUUGCUGCUUCUUUGGACUAAUAAAUAAAUUAGCCAACUCUAUUGAUAUGUUGAUGUCAGCGUUGCUCUCUUGUGUUCAUUCAGUAUGGCUGCAGACGAGUUGCUUGAGAUUUACAAGGGCUAAUGUUGUUGAUGAAUCAUGUUUGCUCCGAGUCAAAUGAGCAAAUCCAACCUAAUGAUAAUGAGCUAAAGGGGGCCUAUGCGGAAGAACAUGUAGGAUCCUCUACAUCACAUGUGAAUCCUGAACAAGUAACUGAACAAAAGGAUGCUUCAAGUCUGGUUGAAGCCCAUCUCCCCAUUACUGUAUCACUGACGAGGAACAGUGAAAGCUUCGCUUUGAAUAUCAUACUAUCAUGGCGCUCCUCCAAGCUCUCAAAAUAACAUUGAUGAACUCAAAGAGGUGUAUGGAUUACAUAUUCAGGGAUCAACUCCAAGAACCGAUGAUGAAUGAGUUUUUACCAUAGCCCCUUCUUUGACGUACAUAUACAUUUAAGAUUUGAAUAUCAAUUUUUGGAUUUUGAUAUUGACAUCAUGUGGAUGUGACUAUAGGCUAAAUUUGAUCUUGUUUAUGAUUUAGAAUAAUAUUGAUAUGUAUAUAUAGUAGUUUUUGGAAGUUUAGAAUUAUGAAUAUUGGUUGAAUUAUUUUGUGAUAUAAAGAAUUUUAGAAGUUUGGAAUGUCA